GGGAAUGUGGCUUAGUGGUAGAGUGCUUGGCUAGCAUGCAUGAAGCCCAGGGUUCAAUUCCUCAGUACCA
rnacentral:tRNA from 1 species